AUUGAACGCUGGCGGCAUGCCUUACACAUGCAAGUCGAACGGUAACGGGCCUUCGGGUGCCGACGAGUGGCGAACGGGUGAGUAAUACAUCGGAACGUGCCCGAUCGUGGGGGAUAACGAGGCGAAAGCUUUGCUAAUACCGCAUACGAUCUACGGAUGAAAGCAGGGGACCGCAAGGCCUUGCGCGGACGGAGCGGCCGAUGGCAGAUUAGGUAGUUGGUGGGAUAAAAGCUUACCAAGCCGACGAUCCGUAGCUGGUCUGAGAGGAUGAUCAGCCACACUGGGACUGAGACACGGCCCAGACUCCUACGGGAGGCAGCAGUGGGGAAUUUUGGACAAUGGGCGCAAGCCUGAUCCAGCCAUGCCGCGUGCAGGAUGAAGGCCUUCGGGUUGUAAACUGCUUUUGUACGGAACGAAAAGCCUUCUUUUAAUACAGGAGGGUCAUGACGGUACCGUAAGAAUAAGCACCGGCUAACUACGUG
rnacentral:rRNA from 1 species